UACGUAGGGACCAAGCGUUGUUCGGAUUUAUUGGGCGUAAAGGGCGCGUAGGCGGCUCGGCACGUCCGUUGUGAAAUCGCCCGGCUCAACUGGGCGGGGUCAGCGGAUACGGUCGAGCUUGAGCAAGCUAGGGGGUAAUGGAAUUCCCGGUGUAGUGGUGGAAUGCGUAGAUAUCGGGAGGAACACCAGUGGCGAAGGCGGUUACCUGGGGCUUUGCUGACGCUGAUGCGCGAAAGCGUGGGGAGCGAUCCGG
rnacentral:rRNA from 1 species